AGGGGAUUGGUCAAGUGGUAUGAUAGGGGUCUCCAAAACCUUUGGUGGGAGUUCGAUUCUCUCAUCCCCUG
rnacentral:tRNA from 3 species